GAUGAACGCUGGCGGCGUGCUUAACACAUGCAAGUCGAACGAUGAAGCCCAGCUUGCUGGGUGGAUUAGUGGCGAACGGGUGAGUAACACGUGAGCAAUCUGCCCCUGACUCUGGGAUAAGCGCUGGAAACGGCGUUUAAUACCGGAUACGAACCGCCAUCGCAUGGUGAGCGGUUGGAAAGAUUUUUCGGUCUGGAAUGAGCUCGCGGUCUAUCAGCUUGGUGGUGCGGUAAUGGCUCGCCAAGGCGUCGACGGGUAGCCGGACUGAGAGGGUGACCAGCCACACUGGGACUGAGACACGGCCCAGACUCCUACGGGAGGGAGCAGUGGGGAAUAUUGCACAAUGGGCGCAAGCCUGAUGCAGCAACGCCGCGUGAGGGAUGACGGCCUUCGGGUUGUAAACCUCUUUUAGUAGGAAAGAAGCGAAAGUGACGGUACCUGCAGAAAAAGCACCGGCUAACUACGUGCCAGCCGCCGCGGUAA
rnacentral:rRNA from 1 species